rnacentral:rRNA from 1 species
GAUGAACGCUGACAGAAUGCUUAACACAUCCGCAAGUGAUUGGUGGCGGACGGGUGAGUAACGCGUAAAGCACUUGCAUCACAGCUAGGGACAACAUUUGGAAACGAAUGAUAAUACCUAAUACUGUGAGAGAGCUUUGCGUACCAUUAGCUCGUUGGAGAGGUAACGGCUCACCAAGGAGAUGAUUGGUAGCCGGCCUGAGAGGGUGAUCGGCCACAAGGGGACGGAGGCACGGCCCUUACUCCGACGGGAGGCAGCAGUGGGUAAUAUUUGACAAUGGACCAAAGGCUGAGCCAGCAAUUCUGUGUGCACGAUGAAGUUUGCGGAAUGUAAAGUGCUUUCAGUUGGGAAGCGGUACCAACAGAAGAAGGGACGGCUAAAUACGUGCCAGCAGCCGCGGUAAUUC